CGGUUGAUCCUGCCGGACCUGACUGCUAUCGGAUUGAUACUAAGCCAUGCGAGUCAUUGUAGCAAUACAAGGCAGACGGCUCAGUAACGCGUAGUCAACCUAACCUAUGGACGGGAAUAACCUCGGGAAACCGAGAAUAAUGCCCGAUAGAACACUAUAUCUGGAAUGGUUUGUGUUCCAAAUGAUUUAUCGCCGUAGGAUGGGACUGCGGCCUAUCAGUUUGUUGGUGAGGUAAUGGCCCACCAAGACUAUUACAGGUACGGGCUCUGAGAGGAGUAGCCCGGAGAUGGGUACUGAGACACGGACCCAGGCCCUAUGGGGCGCAGCAGGCGAGAAAACUUUGCAAUGUGCGAAAGCACGACAAGGUUAAUCCGAGUGGUUUGUGCUAAACAGACCUUUUGUUAGUCCUAGAAACACUAACGAAUAAGGGGUGGGCAAGUUCUGGUGUCAGCCGCCGCGGUAAAACCAGCACCUCAAGUGGUCAGGAUGAUUAUUGGGCCUAAAGCAUCCGUAGCCGGCUCUGUAAGUUUUCGGUUAAAUCUGUAUGCUCAACAUACAGGCUGCCGGGAAUACUGCAGAGCUAGGGAGUGGGAGAGGUAGACGGUACUCGGUAGGAAGGGGUAAAAUCCUUUGAUCUAUUGAUGACCACCUGUGGCGAAGGCGGUCUACCAGAACACGUCCGACGGUGAGGGAUGAAAGCUGGGGGAGCAAACCGGAUUAGAUACCCGGGUAGUCCCAGCUGUAAACUAUGCAAACUCAGUGAUGCAUUGGCUUGUGGCCAAUGCAGUGCUGCAGGGAAGCCGUUAAGUUUGCCGCCUGGGAAGUACGUACGCAAGUAUGAAACUUAAAGGAAUUGCCGGGGGAGCACCACAAGGGG
rnacentral:rRNA from 1 species